UCCAUAAAAGUAGAGUCGCGGCUACAGAAGCGACUCGCAACGUUCCUCCUCGUUUUUCUGUUAGGUUUUGGCUUCUAAUUAAUCUCUACGACGACAGCUUGAACAUUCGCUAGUAUCAACGAGGUCAGAAAACGAAUCUAACAUUUUUAUGAGUACUAAAGACGCAUCAGCCAGAGAUUUAGGGGCUAUCGCUGAGCUGGGAAGUGCUGCUACGGAGAUUGGAGAUGAGAUCGAUCGCUGGAUUUCCGAGCGGGGAUUUCUGUGCAAAAAUUACCAGUUACGAUGAGGUUUGCGUCUCUUUUCUUAUGAAUAUGAGUGUACUGAGUAAUUAAUAGACCAACUUCUAGCAGAAGGAGUAAUCACAUAUGUAUUUCUGGCACUCAGGGAGAUCGAUCUCGUUGCCCCUACGUUGUAUCAAUCCAUCUAUACGUCAUUCAGCUUCAGCUGGCAAUCUACAGAAAUUUAUUUAUGGCAGAAUACUAGAAAAUACUGUUGCCAGGCAAAUUACCCACUGCCCGGCAGCCGAUCCAACACUUUGCCCAGGCCUUAUCAAGCACCAGACUUUCAUCACUGGCAGCCAGUCAGCCGGGCACGUUCCGGCCAGGUCUUCUGAAUUUACACUGAGGUGGAAUCGGGAGGACGCCAGACUUCUGUCCGAAAAAACUGAACUGAACUGAAUUGGGUUUUGGAUUGUGAAAUGCAUACAAAGGCGGCAAACGGGAGAGUUUUGGCUGCCUGAUUGAUACCCAGAUUAUGGUGGGCCAGUUAAUCGCAUGCCUCGAGUGCUGGGUCGACUGUAAAAUUAUCAGCUGUUUACCAUUAAUUACAUGCGCGUAUCAAGCCGUAUAUACGAAUCAAAAUUUCCUAAUUUCCCGUUCGUUACUCAUACGCACAGUUGCCGUGCCAAAAAAUAAAAAAAAAACCGCUCGUUGAGCUCAGGAGGGAGUGAAGUGGAACAAGUAGUGCUGCUGAUUACGUUACGCACAAAUCUACGCACGAGUGUGCGCAAAUAGACUUUAUAAAACUAAUCUCCAACGGGCGCAGGCAGAUUGGAACAAGGCACGGCGGAGCUGGGGUAUACGGGGAAUAUGUUUGGUGGUAGCCUGCUUGCGUAAAUAUUUCAAGUGGCCUGGACGUCGGCUGAUAACGAAGGGUCCGGUGGGGAAAAGGCAUGGCAGCUGAUUAUAAUAUAAUUAUAGUUCUUAGCAACCACACGCACAAGCUGCCGACAAGAUGAGAAAAUGUCAUCACUAUCAGUCACCGCUUAUCAGCACUGCUCUCUUUAUGCAUAUGUACGAGUAUGUACAUACAUACCUGCCAGUGUAUGGAGCUGAAUUCAGCUCUUUCAGCUCUGCCUGCCUGCCCUUCUCUUAAUUAGAGUACAAAUUUUAACUCUUGACGCUCUGUGGAUCCACCUGUGAGUCACUCCAAAGAUCUUAUCCGGUGGAUAAACCAACAAAUUGGCCCAUCCAAAUCUACUCAUGCUACCAUGGCCUGCAAAAGUAUCUUGGAGAUACUUUGCAGUUAAAAAUGUUGCUGUAAAACUUCCAUAUUUGAGAGCUGCGUGGUCAUGUCGUCCAUGAGCAGCGGACAUUGCUCAACGAUCCGAUGAAUAAUAUUCACACUAAGUGAUAAGUGAUAAGCCAUAUGGCCCCAUCGCACUUCAAAUGGACUUCUGGCUCCCUAGGUCUAACAGGCGUCGAUAGGCUCGGAGAUACUCUGCCACGUUUACAACAUUCGAAAUGGGUAAUCUAUCCACAGUUAGGGCUAAUUUGCUCGCUUUUCAAUGAUUCCGGCAAUGGGAUCGUGACCUUUCAGCACUAUCAUCUUUCGAACCGAUCUCUGUAAUGAUGUUUUAGUUCCCCGAAAAUUCCAACAAAUGUUUGCUUAUGCGACAUGGGUGCCUCUAUCUCUAUCUGAAUAUUUUUAUACAUUUCCACAAGACGAAUCGUGCAUACAUUAAGAGAAUCUGCUUUUGCCUGUCACUGGUCUAAUGCAUGACAUAAA